rnacentral:lncRNA from 1 species
GGUUUGUUGCAAGUUGGUUUGAAGUCCUUCGUGAUUUCAAUUGACUACCGGGAUUAUAUGGGCUCAAGUUUGGAAACUUGAUUGCUUGUCGAUCGUUUCUUCACUUGAACUCUUAUAAUUUGGUCGGUUCUAUGAAAGCUAGCAUCAGAGCAAGUUCAGCAUUAUAAAUGCAGCGUUUGUGUAUUUAAAAACAAAAGAGUUUGUAAAUAAAAUGGUGUAAAUCAAUAAUUAAGUUAUGCCAGU